rnacentral:lncRNA from 1 species
CCACUUUCAGAGAGGAAGUAGGGAACACCUUGAAGCAAGCAGAGAUCUAAUAGGAUCACUCCUCUCCACAGACAGUGUCAAUGGGAAUGAAGGAACAAAGGGUUUAAAUGUCUCCUCACCAUCUAAUCCCAUCUGAUCUUUGGAGAUGACCACAUGGAAAUACUUGGAGAUUCUAACCCUGCUGAGUUCAAAAGGAAGAGUGAGAGCUCUGGGUUUUCAGGAGCAUACAGUGCCCAGGCUGAAUACCUCUCCUCCACAAAGAUUCUGUGUAAAUUAAGAGCUCAAGAGAAGCCAUUCCAAUCAAUUGGAUCAAUGACACGGCGACUAAAACUACAUUAAGUAUGGCCUUGAUACAAUAAACUAUGACAACUAGGAAA